CAACAUGCAGCAUGCAACAUGCACCACCCGCCCUCCCACUGCUAAGCAUGCAGGAAAAACCAGCCACCAAGUGAGUCCCACCACAGAAAUCCA